GUUUUUUAAAAAGGUUUUUGUGCUGCCCUGGAAUUAAACUACUUCCUCUGUCCACCUAAACGAACGGAUGGAUGGACGGACAGACGGAUGUGUGCAAAAACAAACUCAAUUCCAUUCAGGGUAGUUACAACCUGACCUGUCAGCUCCCUUGGUGGGGGGGUUUAUUCUUUUCCUCUCCCUCAGACGGACAGGGACUGGGUGUGAAGGGGAGGUGAUUCCAAGCAGAAGUUGGGAAGUGGCAUGACAGCUGGAGAUGAGAAGAUACAACCAUCAAGGCAAGCACCAGGUCAGUCAGCAACCGGUCCAUUCAACACUUCCCACCCACUUUUAAAGAGUUGAGGAGGAGGUCAGAAUAUAUGAAGGACUGGACAUGAUCCUUUCCCCUCAGCUUGGCAAGGACCAGGUGGGGGGGGGUGGAGACCCUUGUAGUCCUCAGCAGCUGCUGGGAAAUGCCACUUGCUUGCCUCACUGUUGCUUUUUCUUGAGUGAUUUUGCUUCAGGGUGACGGACCUUCAGCUACAAAGGGAGCAAGAAGCCCCUCUCUCUGCGGUUGUGCGAGUCGUUUGUUUCUACGGCUGCCGCAUGGAAAGGUGGCGGGAGUGGUGUGGGGAGGAACUUGUGGAUGGCAAUUCUAAUAAACACUGGAAAAAGAGGCUGUUUUCAGGCCAGCUCAGAACAAAAGUGGUCAAAACUAAGUGGCAGAAGUGGAAAUCAUCUGGAAGGCCUCUGUUACCCUUUUUGAAGUCCCCUAAGUAGUAAUUGGGGGGGGGGGAUCUAUUGGUUUUUCUCCUUUCCACAUUCAGUUUUUUAAAAGCUGAAGUUCUUUCCAUCCUGAAUAAUGAGGAAAUGGAUGAAUUGUGGUAAAUUUUUUCAAACAAAUAUACAACAUUCUCCCACAUUUGUAUCAGCCCACACUCCAGAGUAACAGCGACACUCAGGAUAGAGACAGCCAUCUUGUCCCUGUUUACCAUGCUCCGAGGCCUUUGCUCUCUUCCGCAACUUGCUUUGCACAGGAGAUGUCAUCGGCAAUGUCUCCAUCUUGGAGCGCUGGAGGAGAGAGGAUUUGGGAGGAUGAAGAGGAGGAGAACAGCAAACCUGGGGAUCCUCAUCUCAACAGUGAAAGCUACGCAAGCACAGCCUAGGUCUUUAAACCCUGCAAGGAAGAGGUGGAGCUGUCAAAACUGUCUCACUAUAGAAUAUGUAUACUGGUGUCACCUCAACCUCAGAAAAUGGCCAAGUUCCCAUUACUGAGUCCUGGAACAGCCAUGUGCACCUUCAAAGCUGAUACAGUCCAACGCUUCGCUGCUUCUCUGUCUGAGCAAGCCAAUGGGAGGCUCACAGAUGCAAGACUAGGUGACAACUGGCUUGGCAGGGGUACAUGUGAAAAGGAGCCAAGGGUCUUAGCAGGCCACAAGCUAAACAUGAGUUGAGAGUGUGACAUAGGAGGGAAAAAAGCAAAUGCAAUACUUGGUUGUAUGAACAGGAAUCUAUCUAGUGUUCAGAUUGAGGAAAG
rnacentral:lncRNA from 1 species